rnacentral:hammerhead_ribozyme from 1 species
GUCCAGCCGACGAGUCCCAAAUAGGACGAAACGCGCGUCGUGGAU